rnacentral:lncRNA from 1 species
UUACUUCCACAGAGGCUGCUUGGACAAAUGGUUUGAUAACAAACACGCCUCAUGCCCCUUGUGUCGUUCCAUGGAUUAGACAUGUCAACAUCACACACAUAUAUACUGUUCUUCCUUCUGUAACCUGUUACGUAGCAGAGUUAGUUCUUCUUCUUGUAAUAACCUGUUACGUGUCUGUGUGCAUAUAUAUAUAUAUAUUUAUAUCCUGAUUUCUUUAGUUUGAUUUUGUAAACCUACUGCAACCAACUCAGUUCCUGUAUGUUUAGUUCUUAAGGAACAAAAUGAGAGAUGGGUUGUCUUUAAAUAGUUGUUUGGUUUUGUAAGUGACAGUGCUUGAAGCUUGAAGCUUGAAACUUGAGAAUUCCUUGAAUUUUCACCACUGCAAGAUCAUUCUGCAUAAUUUCAAUU